rnacentral:tRNA from 1 species
GUAGUUGAAUUGUCGCGCCUAAUCGCCAGGCUGCGAAUCUGGGGGGCGGGCGUUCGAAUCGCUCCGGGUGCGCCA